UAUUUUCUAUACUUACAAUCAGCUCUCGUGAAAGAUGUAACGAACUUUCACUGUGCAGAAUUAUUGCUUGUGUCAACAGUGGAUGAAUGAGCUACUCUUGAAGCGCAUGUCGAUUAUUAAUGUGUAAUAACCGGAGUCUGAAAAACUGCUAUAUCGACGAAGAACUUGGGUUUCAUUCAUUUCCGUAAAGCCCGUAGAUAAUACUCUGUAAGUUGUAAUUGAUAAUGAUAAUAAUCAACUAAUCAAGCAAGCUCGAUGUAAAAAUCAUUCCGCAACUGAUGAGAUAAGGACUCACUCUAGUCCAAAACUUGUUGUGAAGAUGAUCUCGCAAUAGUUCUGAAAAUAAGUGACAAUUAUUAUUUUAUCACUACAUACUUUACUUUUAUUCAUGAUCAGCGUAGUAAUGGACAGUUAUAAGUUAUAAGUUAUAAUCGUUGUAGCAAAUCAGGAUAAAAUAAUAAUAAAGAUAGCGACCACUGCUCGGUUAAAUAACCGAAUGAAUAAAAUACUUUGUUAAACAAACGGUAAUUAAUAUUAUUCAAUUUGUAAUGACUUUACUUUGAUUUUAGAUUGUUAAAUUAAUGAUCGGAAAUGCUAAAAAUUGCAUUCGUUAAACGCUGUGCGGUAAAAUAAAAUAAAAUAUAAAUGAAUGCGAAAAUAUUUAAAUAUUUAAAUAUUAAAAACUGGUCAAAAA